GACGAACGCUGGCGGCGUGCUUAACACAUGCAAGUCGAACGGAAAGGCCCUGCUUUUGUGGGGUGCUCGAGUGGCGAACGGGUGAGUAACACGUGAGUAACCUGCCCUUGACUUUGGGAUAACUUCAGGAAACUGGGGCUAAUACCGGAUAGGAGCUCCUGCUGCAUGGUGGGGGUUGGAAAGUUUCGGCGGUUGGGGAUGGACUCGCGGCUUAUCAGCUUGUUGGUGGGGUAGUGGCUUACCAAGGCUUUGACGGGUAGCCGGCCUGAGAGGGUGACCGGCCACAUUGGGACUGAGAUACGGCCCAGGCUCCUACGGGAGGCAGCAGUGGGGAAUAUUGCACAAUGGGCGGAAGCCUGAUGCAGCAACGCCGCGUGCGGGAUGACGGCCUUCGGGUUGUAAACCGCUUUCGCCUGUGACGAAGCGUGAGUGACGGUAAUGGGUAAAGAAGCACCGGCUAACUACGUGCCAGCAGCCGCGGUGAUACGUAGGGUGCGAGCGUUGUCCGGAUUUAUUGGGCGUAAAGGGCUCGUAGGUGGUUGAUCGCGUCGGAAGUGUAAUCUUGGGGCUUAACCCUGAGCGUGCUUUCGAUACGGGUUGACUUGAGGAAGGUAGGGGAGAAUGGAAUUCCUGGUGGAGCGGUGGAAUGCGCAGAUAUCAGGAGGAACACCAGUGGCGAAGGCGGUUCUCUGGGCCUUUCCUGACGCUGAGGAGCGAAAGCGUGGGGAGCGAACAGGCUUAGAUACCCUGGUAGUCCACGCUGUAAACGGUGGGUACUAGGUGUGGGGUCCAUUCCACGGGUUCCGUGCCGUAGCUAACGCUUUAAGUACCCCGCCUGGGGAGUACGGCCGCAAGGCUAAAACUCAAAGGAAUUGACGGGGCCCCGCACAAGCGGCGGAGCAUGCGGAUUAAUUCGAUGCAACGCGUAGAACCUUACCUGGGUUUGACAUGGAUCGGGAGUGCUCAGAGAUGGGUGUGCCUCUUUUGGGGUCGGUUCACAGGUGGUGCAUGCCUGUCGUCAGCUCGUGUCGUGAGAUGUUGGGUUAAGUCCCGCAACGAGCGCAACCCUUGUUCACUGUUGCCAGCACGUUAUGGUGGGGACUCAGUGGAGACCGCCGGGGUCAACUCGGAGGAAGGUGGGGAUGACGUCAAGUCAUCAUGCCCCUUAUGUCCAGGGCUUCACGCAUGCUACAAUGGCUGGUACAGAGAGUGGCGAGCCUGUGAGGGUGAGCGAAUCUCGGAAAGCCGGUCUCAGUUCGGAUUGGGGUCUGCAACUCGACCUCAUGAAGUCGGAGUCGCUAGUAAUCGCAGAUCAGCAACGCUGCGGUGAAUACGUUCCCGGGGCU
rnacentral:rRNA from 1 species